CCUAAUACAUCUUUUGAUGAUCAAAACUUCCUUUUCACAAAGUCUCUCCUUGAUUAUUCUAAAAUUUCAUAACAUAUUGAUAUAAAACUUACCAGUCUAGAGCAUCUUUUAUCAUCUUUUUGCCUAUUCAAAAAUCAAAAUGUUUGCUCAUCCUUAGUCUUCUGGCCCUUCUUCUUUUCCUUGGAAGUCCUCAAAGCCAAAUCAUACAUCAGCACAAUCCUCAGGCUUAAAUGAAGACACUUUGAUGGAAAAACCUGGAGAGAAAUAACAGUUGCUAGAACAUAACUAUUUACCAUGCAGAGUGCUGUAUUCCCCAUCACUGGAAGCAUUUGAAGAGUGAUGAGUCAUCUGUGCUUGGAAUGUUGUUGAGGCAUUCCUGCAUUCGAAGGAAUACUAUACUAAAUUACCUGGGACAUCUCUCAAAUAAUGCCUUCUGACCACUUGAUGGACUGCGGGCCCGUGAGAAGCCAAUUCCAUGUAGAAAAACCUUGUCUUGGCCUGAACUUUUGGAGAGAAGAGGCUGGGCCUUGUCUUGCACAUAAUAGGUGCUCAAUUCAUGGACUGAUGGAUCAUGUAUUACAAAUCAUAAUCCUUAGGAAUGGCAGAAGAAGGGAAAAGAGGGUUGGGCAGACAAGAAACUCAGCUUUCACUAGUUGCUGUGCGAUUGUAAGAGGAUCAUGAAGAUGAAUACUGUGACGAGGACAGCUUGCCCGGCUCAGUGAAGCCAGAACUUGUACUGAGAAGCCAGCGCCUCUGGGCUUAGGCGGUUGCAAGCCUCCACCUGCCCCAAUUCCAUCGUCCUCCCGCUGUACUCUGUGGUGGGAGCAGGAUGGGAGCCAAUACAGACAAAGACGACCGGGGUAUGCG